UGUCACCAACCGACGUUCCUGCCGCCGCCGGCCGGGGCGCCGCCGGCCGGCCGUCGGUUUGCGGACGUGACCGGAGUCUCGUCACUGCAACAAACUCGGCGCCGAACCCGGAACCCGGGCAGAACAGCGGCAGCUGCCGGCGAGCGCGGUCCGUCCCCGGGCCCCGAGUCAAGUCGCUGCCGGUUCCAGUGAAGCCCCGAGCGGGGAGGGAGGGGGAUGAAGUUCUUCUCGUUGCUCCGCAAGAGGAAGGAGCUCAUCCCGCUGGUCGCCCUGAUGUCCACGGCCGCCGCCUUCGGCACCGGCACCUGCGUCUACUUCCUCGCCACCAAGAGCGAUGUCAUAAUCAACAAGACGCGCAACCCGACUCCGUGGGAGACGGUGGACCCCAGCCAGCCCCAGAAGCUCAUCACCGUCAAUCAGAAGUGGCAAGCCAGUGGAGGAACU